rnacentral:rRNA from 1 species
GUGGGGAAUUUUGGACAAUGGGCGCAAGCCUGAUCCAGCAAUGCCGCGUGCAGGAAGAAGGCCUUCGGGUUGUAAACUGCUUUUGUACGGAACGAAACGGUCCGGGUUAAUACCCUGGGCUAAUGACGGUACCGUAAGAAUAAGCACCGGCUAACUACGUGCCAGCAGCCGCGGUAAUACGUAGGGUGCAAGCGUUAAUCGGAAUUACUGGGCGUAAAGCGUGCGCAGGCGGUUUUGUAAGACAGGCGUGAAAUCCCCGGGCUCAACCUGGGAAUUGCGCUUGUGACUGCAAGGCUGGAGUGCGGCAGAGGGGGAUGGAAUUCCGCGUGUAGCAGUGAAAUGCGUAGAUAUGCGGAGGAACACCGAUGGCGAAGGCAGUCCCCUGGGCCUGUACUGACGCUCAUGCACGAAAGCGUGGGGAGCAAACAGGAUUAGAAACCCUGGUAGUCC